rnacentral:lncRNA from 10 species
UAGAAAACAACAACAGUAACAACAACAAAAACUCAAGAAACAGGAAUGCAAGCUCUACAUUUUGUUAAACUAAGGACAUUUCUUACUCGUAACAAUCAGAUAUAAAAAAGUGCUGCCACAGGGGCAAGAAUGAUGCUCAGAAGGUCUUUAAUGGCUACAAAUCUUGGAUUAAGCUGACUGAGCAGUUCUUACACCGAGAAGCAAAACAACAACCUUUUGUUUCAAGAAACAGUUUCCCUUGGAAUCCAGUCACCAUGCUGUGAGGAAAUCAAAGCCAAAGGGAAGUUUCACAUGAAGAGCAAUCAAGUCGUUUAGCCCUCAGCCUGAUGACCACCCUACUGACUGCUGCCCGUGAUAUAAUUCUUCCUGGAACUUGAAUGGGAACCUCGUUGUGAAUAAAAAGAGUUAGAGAGAUUAUAUUGCCACCAUGGAAGAGGAGGAGCUGGAAGGAGAUUCUGAAGCCUUGGGACAAAGCUGGUGCUGCGGCAGUCAGAGCAGAGAGACAGAAUGAUGCCACUGAUUGCUGUGCUUUUGGAGACUGUUCUACUUCUGAAUUUCCAAUUCAGUGAAAUAAUGCCUGUCCUCAUUUAUUAGCCUUUUAGAGUUGGGUUUUCUGGUUUGCUUUGUUUAAAGUAUUCAAAAUGGCACAUACUUCUACUUAGCUUUAAUGUUUCUUCUUUUUAUUUAUCUUAGGCUCUGCUGCUGUCCUGUCCAUAAGGUUAUUUGUUGGUAAAAUAUUAAACUACAGGAAACAUAACAGCCUCAGAAAAGCAUGACUCAACAUGAGCCUGGGACAACUCAGGGUCUCUCUACUGUGCACAGCAUUUGUUCUGCUUUCAAGGCUCCCCACAGCAUCUGAAGCUUUACAUCCCUGGAGGCAACUGCCCAUAUGUUUACCUUUAUUACCAACUGCAGUUUCCAGGCAUCUGCUAAAUUACAAUUUUGAGUGCUUAAUGGUGAUUUCAUUUGUGUAAAAAAAAAGCGGGGAGACUCUUUGCCCCUCAUUAACUUAGAAUGGCAUUGCACCACACCGUAGAGCUGGCAUAUAGGUAUAUUGAAAGAAGUGGGUAGAGCUAAGAGGAUUAGAAGCUUAUGUGUGCCGUGAGGAGGUAAGAAUCAGGUUGUGUUCAUGUGUGUUUAUGUCCUUUCUUGGAACAAUAAAGUAAACAGAUUUUCUCCUCUGAGAGAAAGAAAGUUUCAAUAAUAUAGAAAUAGCUUUGCCCCUAUCUAGGGCCCUUAUGUCUUUUUAACCCCAAGGGGCAUAUCACAGAGUGUAUAGGAGAAUAUGGCAAUAUAUCAAAGGCGAUAAAGGCCACAGAGCUACAGAUGUUCCCCCAUCCUAUGCAAGCUGCUUCUCUAUAGAGCCUUCCAUUCUGCAAAGCUUCCAGCUUGUUCUGUCAUAGCACCUGAUUAGACAGCCGUGCCUCCAACACUCUUGGCUGUCCUUUCUUUCCUUGGUUAACUUCUCUUGUCAGUGCAGUUGAGUUAUCAACAUGGUAUAAGUGUUACAUCAAUACCAUUUCAGAAAUAAAACACUAGCCAUGCAAAGGCUGAAGCAAAUUGUUUUCCAACUAAAUGCUGGCAGCCUGCUCUUAUAGAUUAAGACCAGGUUUCUCCACAAAGCACUGAAGCAGCAAAUUUAAAAGGAGGCAAAUAGAACAUAGACUAUAUAGCAACAGAGAUAAAACAGUUCAUUACCUAGCUAAUGUUUGCAUUUUUCUGCUUUAGAGCAUGUAAAAAAUUAGAGAUAACAAAAUGACACUUAAUAGACGCUGGACAUGUAGAGGGAAAUGUAGCUUUUAAAGACAUUUUUCUUCUAUUCCUGGCAAAAGUAAGCGAGGGAAAGGUGAAUGUAGCAGGUACAAAUCACACAGGCAGAAAAUACAGAGGAAAGACCUAAAGCCUAACUCAAUUCUAUGGAUUUUAAUUAUGGAAAUCUGGCCAAGUCACUCCCCUCCUUGCAGGGAUUGUUAUUACUUUAUUAUGAAAAAAUUGAAACAGUUGUCUUCUCUACUGCACAGGGUUGUGGCAAAAACAAAAUGGCAUUGUGAAUGUAAAAGUUCAUUAAAAACUCUAAAAUGUGAUAGCAUAAUGUAAACCACUUUUUUUUUUUUUUUUUUUCCAAAACGGAGUCUCGCUCUGUCGCCCAGGCUGGAGUGCAGUGGCGCGAUUUCGGCUCACUGCAAGCUCCGCCUCCCAGAUUACAGGCGUGAGCCACCGUGCCCGGCCAAACCACUUUUUUUUUUUUUUUUUUUUUUUUACAUAAAGAUGCAUUACAAUUGAGUUUUCAAUCUCAUGACACAAGAGUCACAAAGACACAGAACAUUUAGCUGACACUGAGAUAGUUAUGAUUCACAAAGACAUUUUAGAAACUAUUGAAUUCAUCUACAGCUACAGUCCAUACAGCUCUCUGCCAGGGAGUUUUUCUGCCUGCAUUUGGACAUGUACUGUGACAGAGAGUUCAGCAUUUAUUUGUUUGAGUCCAACCUCUCCUCUCUGCAGUGAGCUGGAUCAUGCCAUGCAUAAAGCAUGGGGUCUUCUAAGAAAAGGGCGCAAGUCCUUGCUUUGCCACUUAAUAUUUUUCUAAUACCGAGCAAGUUACUCUCAGAUACCACUGCCUCAUUUAUAAAAGUUUGAUAAUAAUGCUACACAUGUCAAAGGGUUAUCAUAGGGUUAGAAAAGUCCAUUUCAGAUGCUAGUUAUUAUUUUGAAGUGAGAAUUCAUUGUAUCUUAAGAAAUAUGUUAUAUUUGUUGACUGAACACAGGCAGCAAUAACAGAGUGCUAUAGAUAAUAUGUGUCAUUCAUAUUCAAAUACCUCUCAUAAAUGUUAUCUUUUAGAAAAUAUGUUAUUAGCCCUCAGAAAUAAUAAAGGAUUACACAUGAACUCUGGAUCCCCUCAACACAGCUUAAUAAAAAGCCACUGUGCUUUUUCUUUUAAAACAGAAAAAGAAACGUGUUUGGAUAUCAAUGAUCUUCAGUAACUCAUAGAAUAGAGCAUAGGCUGGGCCUGUGUAAUGGCUCAGGCCUGUAAUCCCAGCUCUUUGGGAGGCUGAGGCAGGAGGAUGGCUUGAGCCCAGGAGUUCAAGACCAGCUGGGUCAACAAAGUAAGACCUCGUCUCAACAAAAAAAUUAAAAAGUUAGCCAGAUGUAGUGGUGUGUGCCUGUGGUCCCAUCUACUAGGGAGGUGAGGUAGGAGGAUCGCUCAGGCCUGCAGUGAGCCGUGAUUGCACUACUGCACUCCAGCUUAGGUGACAGAGACAGCCCCUGUCUCAAAAAAAAAAAAGAAUAGAACAUUGGCUAGUAAUCUAAUCGGUGCUAAAGGCAUUUGGCAUUACCAGGCACCAGGCACAGGCUGGAGUAAGACAAAAUUGUCAUGUUUUGACAUGUCAUGAGACAAAAUUUAUCCUUGCCAUUUUCUAGGCUCUUGCCUUUCUCCUGAUUUUCCCUGCAUAGGUCAGACUCCUCACCUUCCCACUGCAUUUUCUUCACUCUUCUUAGAAAAGGGGAUUCUCUUGUUCUUCAUUAGGUGCUUCAACUGAUUUAAUGAGCAUCAACUAAUUUCACUUGUUUGUGUUUGGGUCAUUCACUUUUCAAAGUGUUCAUUCAGUUACUUCAUCCAUAAAAUGGUGACAAUGACAUCACAGCUUUGUUUAAUAAUUAAAUAAGACAAUCUGUGUAAAGCAUUUAUCAUAUUGUCCCACACAUAGUAAAGUUCAAUGAUUUCAUAGAUAUAAUUACAAUAUCAUAAUUAAGAUAAAGUUUUACAUUAUACUUUCAAAAGUUAGAUUUCCAAAUAGAAAUAGCUUGAGAGCUGGAAUGACUGUAUUUGAAACUCAGAUUUAUCAGUUACUAGUUGUGUGGCAUUAGGCACUGUUUCAACCUUGAUUUUCAGUUUUUAUAUGAUGGGAAAUAUAGUUAAUCAUUUAACUACUGCUAUUGUGAGGAUUAGGUGGGAAAGCCCUGGUCAAAGACUUGGCACUGAAAACAUUCAUAGUAAAUAAAUAUUAGCUAUUUGUUAUUAUUGUAGUAGUUUAGGAACAAUUUCAUAUUAUGCUUUUUAAAAAAUGCAUACAAUGGGGAAUGUUGGUUUUCUAUUUUGCCUGUUACUAAAAGUUCAUGCAAAUAAUAAUGUCCAGAAGUUUAGGGGAAAGAAUAUUUCCACAAGAACGAAGAGAGAGAUUUCACUAAUUGUAACUAAGCUUUGUUCUUCCCGACCCUCUAUUUCUGCUUCCAGAAGCUGAGACUCAGGUUAGCAUCUCACUGUAUUUCUGUGAGGAGGAGAUAUUGGUGCAAGAUCUCAAGCAGACAAGCAAAAUCCAUCCCUAUCCAACAACUCCUACCUAUUGAGCAAAUGAUUUAAAAAGUGGUUACUGUGCCAUCAGAAAAACUGUUGGGGAUUGAUGUGUCUCUUUUUGUUGAACUGGCUGAGUAGAUAAGUACACAGAAUAACUUAUACCAUCACUUUAUAUUUACGCUUACCUAAUAUGAUAUUGUUAUAGCUGUCUUGUGAAAUCAAGUUGUUUUCAGCUUGCUUCUGUCAUUCUUCCUUCUUCUUUGUGAUUAAAUAGAAACAAAUGAUGUAAAAUAUGUGCUGUUUUCUUUACUCUUCCUAACUUAUGUAGGUGGGAUGGGUAGCCUUUAUUAUCUUGGCAAACAUAGUGCAGGGAUAACUUGCAUUGUUGAAUUGAGUAGUAUAAUAGUGACAAUGCUAAAAACUCAGUGAUAGUUCAGGACUAACCACUGAAUAUUUGUUAUACAAUAUCUCAAAGUUCUCAGCUGGAUUAUGACAUUAUUUUAUUUAAAAUUUUCUAAUAUUUAAUAUGUCUUUUUUCUACAUUAUUUAAAUUGUUUUUGUAUUCUUUUUUGGUUUUAAAACAUAAUGAAUAAGAACAUAAAAUAAAACAUACAAAAAGAUUUAACUGCUUAAACAUAAUGCAAAUUUGAGACAUAUUCAUGUAAUUGAUGGUCUCUAAGCAAGUAAUAGUUGAUUAAAUUGUUUGUAAUUUGUAGAAAAAUAAAUGCACCAAAAUGUUUGUAUGCUAUAUAUUGAAAUAUUAUUUUAUUAUUUCAUUCAUGCUUAUUCAUUGAAGACUAGGAGUGAUAUC